rnacentral:rRNA from 1 species
AUCAUGGCUCAGGAUGAACGCUAGCUACAGGCUUAACACAUGCAAGUCGAGGGGAAACGACAUCGAAAGCUUGCUUUUGAUGGGCGUCGACCGGCGCACGGGUGAGUAACGCGUAUCCAACCUGCCCACCACUUGGGGAUAACCUUGCGAAAGUAAGACUAAUACCCAAUGACGUCUCUAGAAGACAUCUGAAGGAGAUUAAAGAUUUAUCGGUGAUGGAUGGGGAUGCGUCUGAUUAGCUUGUUGGCGGGGUAACGGCCCACCAAGGCGACGAUCAGUAGGGGUUCUGAGAGGAAGGUCCCCCACAUUGGAACUGAGACACGGUCCAAACUCCUACGGGAGGCAGCAGUGAGGAAUAUUGGUCAAUGGACGAGAGUCUGAACCAGCCAAGUAGCGUGCAGGAUGACGGCCCUAUGGGUUGUAAACUGCUUUUAUAAGGGAAUAAAGUGAGUCUCGUGAGACUUUUUGCAUGUACCUUAUGAAUAAGGACCGGCUAAUUCCGUGCCAGCAGCCGCGGUAAUACGGAAGGUCCGGGCGUUAUCCGGAUUUAUUGGGUUUAAAGGGAGCGUAGGCCGGAGAUUAAGCGUGUUGUGAAAUGUAGACGCUCAACGUCUGCACUGCAGCGCGAACUGGUUUCCUUGAGUACGCACAAAGUGGGCGGAAUUCGUGGUGUAGCGGUGAAAUGCUUAGAUAUCACGAAGAACUCCGAUUGCGAAGGCAGCUCACUGGAGCGCAACUGACGCUGAAGCUCGAAAGUGCGGGUAUCGAACAGGAUUAGAUACCCUGGUAGUCCGCACGGUAAACGAUGGAUGCCCGCUGUUGGUCUGAAUAGGUCAGCGGCCAAGCGAAAGCAUUAAGCAUCCCGCCUGGGGAGUACGCCGCAACGGUGCAACUCAAAUGAAUUGACGGA